UUAGCUACCGCAUUAUGUCUUAAUAAAUAUUCUUUUCCCAUGAGUCCUUGGGCAUGCUUGACAGUCUCCUUCAGGGGGAACCAGCUCUGCAAUAUUGCCUUGGGAAAUUAAAAUCGCCUCUUGCAUAGCCAUAACGGGCAACUCUUCCUGAGACCAUCUUGUCUUUGGUUUUGGAACUUGAAUUUCGUCUUGGUAUUCUGCACGGUGCUGAGACUGCUCAUGAACACCGAGACCAAUCUUAGUCCGGAACCACAUCGAACAAUACUUGCACUCAAAUCCCGCUGUUGCCAUGUCGAUUCGCAACUCGUCAACCAAGCUGAAGAGGCAGUUAGGUCAUAGUAGAAAAAGCACACAGGACUGAGAACGAGACAAAAAAGAAGCCGAGCACUUGCGGACUAAUGCAAGGCCAGGGGCGGAUAACAAGUUCACUGAUCCGAAGAUCAGCUGUGCAGGUGCGCCACGGAGAGGCAACGUGUUACCCUACGGUGGAUAGAGGUUGUAUAUUACGCUUAUUCCACCGCUAUGACAGGCUUAGCAAUCGCUUUCACCAAAAAUGUCAUCGAACCCAAAAGAAGGUUAGGAGAGUCAUAGUUACUCCCGCUGUUUACCCGCCCUUGGAUGAAUUUCUUCACUUUGAUAUUCAAAGCACUGGACAGAAAUCGCAUUGUGCCAUCACCGGCCAUCGCAAUGCUUUGUUUUAAUUAGACAGUCGGAUUACCUUAGUACGUGCCAGUUCUGAGUCGGCCGUUAGUUUCCCGCCGAAACCGUCGGU